UACGUAGGGUGCGAGCGUUGUCCGGAAUUAUUGGGCGUAAAGGGCUCGUAGGCGGUCUGUUACGUCGGGAGUGAAAACUCGGGGCUCAACCCCGAGCCUGCUUCCGAUACGGGCAGACUAGAGGUAUGCAGGGGAGAAUGGAAUUCCUGGUGUAGCGGUGAAAUGCGCAGAUAUCAGGAGGAACACCGGUGGCGAAGGCGGCUUUCUGGACAGAUACCGACGCUGAGGCACGAAAGCUAGGGGAGCAAACAGG
rnacentral:rRNA from 1 species